CACGGGGGGAGCAAGCGUUGUCCGGAAUCAUUGGGCGUAAAGCGCGUGUAGGCGGUCCGGUAAGUCCGCUGUGAAAGUCGGGGGCUCAACCCUCGGAUGCCGGUGGAUACUGUCGGGCUUGAGUACGGAAGAGGCGAGUGGAAUUCCUGGUGUAGCGGUGAAAUGCGCAGAUAUCAGGAGGAACACCAAUUGCGAAGGCAGCUCGCUGGGACGUUACUGACGCUGAGACGCGAAAGCGUGGGGAGCAAACAGG
rnacentral:rRNA from 1 species